UUUUUUUUUUUUUUUUUUUUUUUUUUUAAAGAAAAUUAGGAAAGAGAAUUUAAACGAUUCCUCCAAACCAUACAUUUAUAAAUAUUGUCAUAUUUAAAAUGCUUGAAAGGCGUGAAUUCUCCAUUAAUGGAAAAGCAGUUUGCUAUUGGCAACAGAAAAAAACUCAGCGAUAAUUUACCAAAUGCUUUAAAAUUUAAAAGCUAUACUGUUUGGAUUCACACUUGCGCAGUAAUCUUGUCAUUACAACAACUGCAAAUUGCUUUGUACUCACCUUCUCUCAAGUAAAAUCUAAAGAAAACCCCACCGUAUCCAAUGUUUGUAAUGUUUACUUCAAGUGAAUCUAAAAAAUUUCUAAAUUUAGUUUAUGGUAAAUACCUCAAAAUACCUAAAAAUAGGUACGUAUCAACCACUUAAGGGUGUGAAAAUUGUUUCAGAUUCACUGCUUUAAAGGGUCUUCAAAUAUAUUUUCUUUAACAGAACCUUACUUCAUUCCAAAUUAUUAUCAGAUAUUUCAAAAUAAAAAAAAAGUAUCAGUUCUAUACCAAGAUAAAGGUGUUACUCAAUACCUGAAGGUUCACAUUUUAAAUUUAUUUUUUAGUUUUUCUUUUUUGUCAACAAAUGAUUGAUGAAAUAAUGCAACACCCUUAAAUUCCAGAAAAUGGCAUGGUUUUUCCAACCUCCUGUGGAUAUGGUGCAUGAUCAAUCUAUUAUAUAGGAGCCUGGCUAAUUUUUAAUUUUUUUUUUUUUUUUUUUGAGAGGGAGUUUCACUCUGUCACCAAGGCUAGAGUGCAGUGGCACGAUCUCGGCUCACUGCAACCUCUACCUCCCAGGUUCAAGCGAUUCUCCUGCCUCCACCUCCCAAGUAGCUGGUAUUACAGGCAUGCGCCACCAUGCCCAGUUAAUUUUUGUAUUUUUAGUAGAGGUGGGGUUUCGCUAUGUUGGCCAGGCUGGUCUCAAACUCCUGACCUCAAGCGAUCUGCCCGCCUCAGCCUCCCAAAGUGCUGGGAUUACAGGCAUGAACCACUGCGCCUGGCUAAUUUUUACAUUUUGUGUACAGACAGAGUCUUGCUAUGUUGCCCAGGCUAGUCUUGAACUCCUGGCCUCAAGGUAUCCUCCUGUCUUACUCUGUCACCCAGGCUGGAGUAUAUUGGCUGGCUGUUCACAGGUGCAACCAUAAUGUACUACAGCCUUGUGCCCCUGGGCUUAAGUGAUCCUCCCACCUCAGCCUCUUGAGUAGCUGUGACUACAGGUGCAUGCUGCCUCAC
rnacentral:lncRNA from 1 species